AAUACAGCAAUACCAGCUAGGGGUAGGACGUCAGUCACGAAUCAUGGACCCCAGGAGAAGUGCCCAGGAAGCAGUGUAUUGUGGCCUGUGUGAGACAGCUUUGGUACAGAUGUACUGUGACACGUGCCUCACCAACCUCUGUACAGCCUGUGUGGGGAAACACGUGAUAAUGGAUAAAUCCAGGGGUCAUCAUGUCGGGAUAUUUCAAUCCAGAACAUCUGGCCAGCAUCCUAAUAAAUGUCCCUCUCACUCUGAUCAAAACUGUAAUUCAUUUUGUAAUCAGUGCCAGUGCCCAAUCUGCUCAAUCUGCAUUGAUUCGGGAUGCCACUUAAAUCAUAACGUAGAGGAUAUACAUAAAAUCCUUAAAUUCAGAAAGAAAAAGGCAGCAAGAGAUCAGAGGCUUCUCACUAGUCUUAUUCUGCCGUCAUUCCAAACGAUGGCUCAAAAGAUACAAAAUGAUAUUGAUUAUGUAGAAAAAGAAUAUGAAAAAGUGGUCAGAGCAAUUGAAAGACAUGGUGAAAUAAAAUACUCAAAAAUCAAAAGCACUGUCAAUAAACUGAAACGAAAAGUUGGUACCUUGAGAAACCAACAGGUCCAAACACUACAGCAACAAAUCGUUGAAAUAAAUGGCAAGAUUUCUAGCAUUGGGGAAGAGGUUAACAACUCUAAAAAUGUUCUGGAUUCUCAAAGCCUUGUUGUAGUAUCCUCUUAUGUCUCAAAAUGUUCAGAGUUUAAAAAGCUACCUCAAAGACUUAAAGUUGAGGUGCCUAACUUUAAGCGUAGAAUGAUACCACAGAAGGAGCAAAAAGCCAUGUUCGGGAGCCUUUCUGUUGUUAAUGUAAAGACAGAAAUUGUUUACGAAUUGAUGCCGGCUGCUUUGUACUCAAGUUCCCUCAAAGGGUUGUUGGGGGAACCUGAGCUGCUCAGUACAAUUAACUCCUGCCACUCAGCCUGCCUUUAUAGCGUGGUCUGUCUAGGAAAAGACAUGGUCUUCACAACAGGAGAUAACUGUACCAUAGAAGGCAUUCAAUUAACAGAAAAGGGGGGCUGUUGUAAAAUGCACUCCAGAACUCUGUCAGGAAACAAACCCUGGGACAUUGCACUCAAUAGAAAAGGUCAACUUGUAUAUACAGACCGAGACGGACAAACUAUAAACCUUCUGAAAAAUAAGAAAAUACAAGUUCUGAUGACAUUCAGAGAUUGGAAACCCUUAAAUUUGUGCUGUACUUUUGAUGGUGACCUCCUAGUUAGUAUGAUCAGUUACGAUCAAAAGCGAUCCAGAGUUGUGCGCUACUCCAAAACUGCCAAAAAACAGAGCAUCCAGUUUGAUGAGAAGGAACAGCCUCUCUUUCAUUCAUACAAUGGUUAUGAAUAUAUCGCAGAGAACAGGAACUUUGAUAUCUGUGUAGUUGAUUGUCAAGCCGGAGCAGUCGUUGUGUUGGAUAAAGGAGGAAAACUCCAAUUCCGGUAUACUGGACAGAUGACAGCUCCAAAGAACAGACUGUUCUGUCCUCUUGGACUAGCCACAGAUAGUCAAUGUCAGAUACUUAUAUCUGAUAUAAGUAACGACUGUAUUCACGUCAUAGACGAGGGCGGAAAGUUCCUCUGCUACAUCGACUGUGGACUAAAGUGCCCAUGGGGGCUGUGUACAGAUCCAGAGGAUAAUUUGUAUGUUGCUGAAAAAGGUGGAACUCUUCAAAAAAUUAAGUAUUUGUCAAAUUGAAGAAGUAUUAGAGACCUU
rnacentral:misc_RNA from 1 species